UACAGAGGGUGCAAGCGUUGUUCGGAAUUAUUGGGCGUAAAGGGCGCGUAGGCGGUGCUGUAAGUCUGUAGUGAAAUCUCUGGGCUCAACUCAGAGUCUGCUAUAGAAACUGCAGUGCUGGAGUGUGGGAGAGGUGAGUGGAAUUCCCGGUGUAGCGGUGAAAUGCGCAGAUAUCAGGAGGAACACCGAUUGCGAAGGCAGCUC
rnacentral:rRNA from 1 species